GUAAAUACUAGCUUUGGCAAUACCAAUUCUAAAAUUGUAAUGAUACAGAGAAGAUUAUCAUGGCCCCUGGACAAGGAUGACAGGUAAAUUCAUAAAGCAUUCCAUAUUUUU
rfam:Octopus bimaculoides Scaffold151780_contig_22, whole genome shotgun sequence.